GGCCUCCUGUAUCCGUACUGAAAUUUCGUCAAACACCGGACAACACGAUUUGACUAGACUCCCAAGAUAAGUGAAGCG
rnacentral:pre_miRNA from 1 species